UAGAAACAAAUGGCGUGUCAAGUUUCGCAGGAAGAGUGAAGCUCUGGGAGCCAGCCACGAUUAGUCGCGCCUUCUGUGACGUCCAGUGGCAGAGGUCAAAGGGAUUCCUGGGGCAACCUCAAGGGAAAGAAUUCUGGCUCCGAGGGCCAGUGUACAGUGCUUUAAAUAUGGCAGUGGUUGUGUGUGAAAUUAUCGUGUUUUUCUGUUUAACCUGUUUCUUGUCUCUUCAUCGCCUUUCUAUAUAAUGUAAGACCAGAGGCUUUAUGUAGUGAAUUCCCUAUAACCCCGGCUGCUUGGACAGAUAGGUAUUCAAGUAUUUGUUUCUUGAAGUAAUCCUCUGAAUUAACCUGCUCACAUGUAAAAAAUAAUAACGGGCUGGGAAACGCCAGUAAUAGCCGCCAAACGUUUGUUAGACAUUUACAGUGUGCCAGGGACUGCAUUUUACGUGUAUUACCACAUUCCUCAGAACAGCCUAAUGAGGUAUAUAUUACUAGAAUGCCUAUUUUUCAGAUGAGGAAACUGAUGCAUAGAAAGGAUAAUUUACUCAAGAGCGAGGAAGUAGCAAGCAUAAAAUCCAAGUACAUUUUUUCUGCAUGUAUUAAUAGGUACAAUGAAGUAACUUUUUAAAUUGCUGUAGGUAUCAAUUAUAGUCUUAAUUCCCAGUAAUUCACUUACUAAGAAAUAUUUUCUGCUUCUCUUUCAUCAUUCAUGGGAGAAAUACAUAUCCUUAAAUAUUUUGCACAUUUAAAACUUAAACUUGGGUGUGGUGGCUUAUGCCUGUAAUCACGGCGUUUUGGGAGGCUCAGAUGGGAGGAUUGCUUGAGUCCAGGAGUUCCAGGCCAGCCUGGGCCACAUAGUAAGACCCCGUAUCUACAAAAAAUAAAAAAAAAAAAUUAGCCAGGCAUGGUAGUGCCUCUGUAGUACUAGCUACUCGGGAGGCUGAGGUGGUAGGAUCACUGGCGCCCAGCAAUUCCAGCCUGCAGUUAGGUAGGAUUACCACACUGCACUUCAGCCUGAGCGGCAGAAUGGGACCAUGUCUGAAAAAAUAAAUAAAAAAUAAAACUUGCAGGUAUGUUCUGAAUGUUUAUUGUAUGCAUCCUCUAUGAUGUAUCAUUUUAUUGGAAAUUAUUGCAUUGUCUACAAAAAUAUGAAGAACUCUGAAGAUGCCAAAAGAUAAACCGUGAAAGAGUACUAGAAGUGAGCUCCUCAAAAAGAUAAAGCUGAGAAGUGUUUCCCAAUUUUUCUUACUCAUUUAUGUAUGUAAUACUUUAUGUCUAGAAACUGAAUUUCAGAGCUGGGAGGAAACUUAAAAGUUAGUCCAGUUCUUUCAUGUUAGUGCCAAGAAAGCUGAUCAGAAAGAGAUUAAAUGACUUGCCCAAAAUUGAAUAGUCUUAAAUCUGAGCCGAGGCAGGCGUCUGAAUGUCUUAAAUUGGAGUUAAAUGUAUUAGCGUCAUAGUAUUAACAUCAUCAUAUUCCAUAUCUCUGAAAUCUGAUUUGAUUUUCAUUACAAUAGAGAAAUAAGUGUGAUUAGUAUUAUCCCCAUUUCCUUCACCGGGAGGCACAUUGUUUUAGUAUCAAAAGCAGCUACCUUGGGAGAAUCCGGGGCUAGAAACCUGGCUUCAUUUCAAGUUUUACUCUUGUUGCACCAAAACCUUGGGUGAGUUAGUUUCUCAGCCUCAGUCCCCUCAUCAGGAAAAUGCUGUGUUAGCACUUUCUGUGAAGAAUGAUCAAAGGAGUGGAGAUGAUAGAGGUUAUAAACACACUUGACACAGAGUAAGUGUUUAAGAACUGGUAGCUGAUUUUUACAAAGUUAUGGGUCAUAGAAGGCAGUUUAGAGAAAAGGGCAGGCUUUGGAGUAGGAGUAGCUCAGAGUUGUAUUAUAACCUUGGCUUCUUUACUCACCUAGGACAUACACUCUCUCUUUAGCUGUAGCUUCCUCCCCUCUGAGAUGGAAAUUAUAAGCCAUCUCACAGUGUUGUGAGGAUUGGAGCUCAAGUGUGUAAAAUGCCUCCUCUGUGGGCUCUCCUUGGAGAGUUCUUGUAUCCUAUUGAUUGUCAUCAAAGGCAAAAAGUGGCAGGAUGAUGGCAUAAGUGGGAAGAACCUUGAGUUUAAUAGUCUGAAAAAGUGGUUACAGGUUCUUGCUGUGCUUUUCCUCUCUGUGGUUUUCUGAACCCAUCGCCUAACCUGAAGCCUUAAACUUCAUCUGCAAAAAUGUUUUGUGGCAGGUGACUCUGAAGCAGAACUCUUGAGAUGGAAGGAUUGUCAUCUGAGGAAAAAAAAUCAAGAUUAAGAGAGGAGGAACUAGAAUGAGAUUCACAUACCGUCUCUCCUCCAAGGGAAGGAGAGAGUGGUGAUGCCUGCCCACUCCUUCCUGGGCAGAACAUUUGUAGCAUGGAACAUUGGAGAAUUUGCAGUCUGCUGACUUUCUGAUUUAGGAGGUUGAUGGGGAGGCCUUAUAAUUUGCAUUUCUAACAAGUUCUGAGGUGAUGCUUCAAGUAUGUCCAGGCAGAAGGGCCGCCUCACAGAGAAUUCUGCCAUACCACGUGGGAAUUGAAGUCACAGACAUCUCUAACCCUCAAGCCUGAAACCAAAAGACUGAAAACCAACACUACAGUAGACAAAGAACAUCUCUGAACUUGUGUGGGGACCAGUGACACAAGGACCUAAGGUCUCUCUCUUCUCAUCUUGGCACUUCAGAAGUCUCCCCAGUCUUGACAAAGCCCUGGAGAAAGGGCCGGGCCUCCCGUUGAUAAGAAUAUCACUGCAGAUAAAUGGAGGUUUCAAAUUGAAAGAAAGGAGGAGGGCCUCCUGUUGAUAAGAUUAUUGCCACUGCAGGUAAAUGGAGGCUUCAAAUAGAAAUACAUUUCAGUUACAGAAAAAAAAAUUAUCUUUGUUACACAUUUGAGUUUGCAGGCCUAAGGUUACUCCCGCUACACUAUCAUCUGUAACCAUAAGGCACUCAACAUUUUUAAGCUAACUAUAAGGAUUGUUGCUUCACUCAAAGAUCCUGAGGUUUUAUUCACUAACAUUUUUAUUUGGUGACUAUAGUUGACAAGAACAAAGCUGUGGGGAACCAACAAACACUGCAAUGCCUGGCAUUGUCACCUCACUAGAUUGUGAGUUCCUCUCGGACAGGGUCCGUACAUUUUCUUAGAAUCCCUCACUUAGCCAUUAGCCUGCACACUGCUUGUACUUAGUAAGUGCUCAGUAAAUGUUUGUGGAAUGAAUGCAUGAUGAACAAAAUAUAUACUGAGGACUCUUGGUGUUGAUUCUUGUUGAUAAUAGUUAAGAUAUGUUAUAAAUAUGUUAUAAAUAUUGUAUCAAAAUAUUGUAUCAAAAAUAUACUUGAGCAGGCUGGGCGUGGUGGCUCACACUUGUAAUCCCAGCCCUUUGGGAGGCUGAGGCGGGUGGAUCACUUGAGGUCAGGAGUUCGAGACCAGACUGGCCAACAUGGUAAAACCCCAUCUCCACUAAAAAAAAACAAAAGUUAGCUGGGCAUGGUUGUGGAUGACUGUAAUCCCAGCUACUCGGGAGGCUGAGGCAGGAGAAUCGCUUGAACCCGGGAGGUAGAGGUUGCAGUGAACCAAGAUCGCACCACUGCACUCCAGUCUAGGGGACAGAGCAAGACGCCUCAAAAAAAAAAAAGUAUAUAUAUGUAGUAUAUACAUACACACGAGCAUAAAGGAGCUUCAAUGUGAAGGUAAUAAUUUAAGCAACAUUUCACAUUUUGGACCUGUGUUAGCUAUUUAGAGCAGUUAAACUACUAGCUUGCUUUUAAAUCCAUUGUCUUAGUCAUUUCAAGUUGUUAUAACAAAAUACCAUACACUGAGUAGUUUAUAAACAACAGAAUGCAUUUCUCUCAAUUCUGGAGGCUGGGAAGUCGAAGAUCAAGGUGCUGGCAGAUUGUGUGUAGUGAAGAUCCAUUCAUCAGAGAUGGCACCUUCUCGCUGUGUCCUCACAUGGUGGAUGGGGCAACAGGCUCUCUUAGGCUUCUUUUAUAAGGGCAAUAAUUCAUGAAGUUUCCACACUUAUGUUAGAAUUACCUCCUAGAGGCCCCACUUCCAACUACCAUCACCUUGAGGAUUAGGUUUCAACAUACAAAUUUUGGAGGUACACAUUCAGAUGAUGACAGCACUCAUAGGUUACCUUUCAUCUUUGGGUUCUCAGUGCCUGCUACAACAGCACAAGAACAGUAAGUGUGUGCUGAAUGAAUACAGAUGAAUGAACCUUUCCCCAUCCUCUUAGAUACUUCCCAACUGAGCUCCACUAUCACCAAACUUGUAGAGCACAUUAUUUUUUGCCUUAUGAUCUCGUUAAGUGGGUUUUUCUUGCACAUACCACACUAAUCCAGUGGUCCUCAAAAUUGUGUGCCCAUUAGAAUCCUCUGGAGGGGUUGUAAAAAUAGUUUGCUGGGUCCUAACCCCAGAGUUUCUGAUUUAGGAGGUUUGGGAUGGGGACACCAAAAUUUGCAUUUCUAACAAGUCCAGAGGUGAUGUUGAUACUGCUGGCUACCAACUCUACCUUAUAAACCAUUGCACAUUAAACUCUUGAGGGUAGAGACUGUCUUCCUCAUUUCAGUAUCUGCUGAAGCCUCUGGCAUAGUACCUGGCACAUAGGAGCUGCUAAAGAAAUAGUUGAUUGAACAAUAGUUCAAAAAAGUUUAUUUUACUGAAGCUAGAUUACAAGUAUAUGAAUGUGUGUGUAUAUGAGAUUAAAUGAGCUAUUACAUGUAAAAGCUCUUAAAACAUGGCACAUAGUAAGCUGUUGCUUUAAAAAAAUCAAAAAUGUAACCUUUCUUUGCUUAUAUUCUAAAAUGACACCAACCAUCCUACAUGUGUGCUCUUAAAUAGCUUAUAUAUUAGAAUAAUGGAAUCUUAGUACUAAAGGCUGGAUGUGGUUGCUCAUGCCUGUAAUCCCAGCACCGUGGGAAGCCGAGGUGGGUGGAUCACUUGAGGUCAGGAGUUCAAGACCAACCUGUUCAAUAUGGUAAAACCCUGUCUCUACUAAAAAUACAAAAA